UACAGAGGGUGCGAGCGUUAAUCGGAAUUACUGGGCGUAAAGCGCGCGUAGGCGGCUUUGCAAGUCGGGUGUGAAAGCCCGGGGCUUAACUCCGGGUCUGCAUUCGAUACGGGCAGGCUAGAGUUCGGUAGGGGAGAUCGGAAUUCCUGGUGUAGCGGUGAAAUGCGCAGAUAUCAGGAGGAACACCGGUGGCGAAGGCGGAUCUCUGGGCCGAUACUGACGCUGAGGAGCGAAAGCGUGGGGAGCGAACAGG
rnacentral:rRNA from 1 species